rnacentral:rRNA from 1 species
UACGUCCUACGGGAGGCAGCAGUGAGGAAUAUUGGUCAAUGGUCGGGAGACUGAACCAGCCAAGCCGCGUGAGGGAUGAAGGUACAGAGUAUCGUAAACCUCUUUUGUCGGGGAGCAAAAGCCGGACGUGUCCGGCUGUGAGAGUACCCGAAGAAAAAGCAUCGGCUAACUCCGUGCCAGCAGCCGCGGUAAUACGGAGGAUGCGAGCGUUAUCCGGAUUUAUUGGGUUUAAAGGGGGCGCAGGCGG